ensembl:lncRNA
AUCAGUAACAUUGAUAAUUUUCUUCAUUUUAAUUGGCUCAUGUUGUUAUGAAAACAUUUGUAUAUUGGAAGAUCGCGUAACAUUAAAGCAGCCUUCUCUCUGUGCCACAUGCAUUUACUUAACUAGUUUAGUUCUCACUUGCACCAAACAAUAGCACUAGCAAGACAGAUGAAAGUAACACGAAAUCACCUGCUGAUUAAAGAAUGGCUUUAUUAGACCACAUUCACUCAAAUCAAAGGUAUUAUAAAAAUAAUAUAUUGCAUGAGUAAAUAAUAGUCAGAAUUAGUUUUCAUUUAAAACUAUUGCAGCUUAAAAUUUUAGGUAUAAAGUUGUUUCACUUUUGAUACAUUAUCACAUUCAAUAAAAUAUUUUAUGGUAUUCUGGGGGUUUUUCGUAGUAUUUACAAUUGAAGCUUUUCUUGUGAUAUAAGUUUUUGUUUAUACAGCAACCUUUCUGUUUUAAUUUCGACAAUGAAACCAUUUUUUUUUAUUGUAUCCAUGUGGUACAGUAACCAUGGUAUAAGCAGAAUAAAUGGCCCUGGAACAAAGUAUUGAAUUAUAGCACUUUGCCAGUUCUGAUUAAUUAGCCGGUUCAGGUGUUUGAUUAGUGUUGGAACUGAACUCUACAGGAUUUUGUGUAUUUGUUUUUGCUUUUUUCCUCAUCCAUUUUUUUUCUUCAGUGUUUUGGUAAGAUUCACCCCUACUUUUUUCCCAAUCCACUGAAUCAAUUGUUUCCUGUGUGUGUGUGUGCAUCAUCCAAAAGGUGCUCAACCUGCAAAGAAGAAAAAGAAAGGAAAAAUGGAGGACCAGUCAGUGUUUGCAUCAGCUGAAGAGUGGCUGAUUAGUACCACUUUAACAAGUCUCCAGUUAAAGCAGGGUGACUCCACCCACAGUUAUGAUGGAAGUGCUUAGCUAGUUAUUCCUACACCAAAUAUGUGCCAUUUUAUAUAUACAAUGAGUAAAUUUAUAGACUAAAUGUGCAUUUGUAAAUAAUUCUUAGUAAUUAGACACAUUUGCACAUCACCUCAGAAGAGAGGAGAUUUUAAGCACCUCAAUAACAAAAAUGCAGCUGAAUGAAAAUAUUUUU